GAUGGAAAAUACAAUAAACAAAAAAUUGCUCAAGACAUCCUUUUCAAUCUGUUUAAGCAGUUGCUCCAUGGAGCCACCUACGAGUAGGCAGAGGGUGUAGUUCAUUUCAUUUCCGAUUCCCUACCCCACUAAUUUACUUACAAUGAUGAGGCUGGCUUUGCAAAAAAGCCAACUAUAUAGAGUAGCAGCGAUGGGCGCGAGGUAGCAUCGGGUUUUUGGGUAAACUGACAAUAUUGCCUAGUCUGGAUGUUUGGAAUACAACACACAAAUUCUGGCUUCUUGGCUUCUUCACAUAAAUUAAAGAAUUAUAUUUGAUCACAUUUGCCUUUGUAUUCAAAAGUCAAACCCAGGUCCUCUUAGAAACAAAUAAAAAUUUAUUAUUGCUAUAGAGAGCAAACAAGUAACAACUAAAAACAAAAAAUAUCACAUUCGUCAAAAAAUUCGACAUUCUAAAUUAAAAAAUUUUUUGUAAAAGUUUUAUUUUAUAUUCAUUCAUAUAGAAUGGAAACACUAAAAUUCACACGUCUAUUGCGAUAUUGAAUUGCGAGCCACGAGCAGAGCACCACUGUGGACGACCACCACUUUCCUGUCCCCAACUUGUUUCCCGAGCGUAGUACCAUGCCCGGGAUGAAGCCAACACUUGGCUGUAGCUCCAAUUCAAAACUUUCUUCUUGUUUCUUCAGCAGUUCUAUCAUCAGCUCACGUCUGAUCCGCAAGUUGUUGAUUAUUAUCCUGCUUCCUACUGAACUCCUCCUGCUGCUCCUUGCUAUGCCAAUACAGA